rnacentral:piRNA from 1 species
UUUUGGAACUGAGGGAGAGUAUAA